rnacentral:lncRNA from 1 species
AUGCAAGUCCCUCAUCUCAAUCAGAUUUGUCUCCAGCAAGGAUCCAGCAUGGAGUUUAUACUCUUAGGAGUGGUACUGUUAGGAAAUCAUCUGUGCCAACUGAUUUAUCUAGGUGAGAUCAGCUAUACUGAAACCAGCUACCCUCCCAUUUAUUCUGAAGAACAUUCAAGAGAAAUAUUCAGUUGUUAUAGAUAUCUGUUAACAGUGAAACUUUAACUUAGCCCACUCAGAAGCUGCAGCUGUCUACAGGAGCCAAGUUAGGUGAGCACUAAUUUUACUUUAAACUUUUAUUUCCUGACAUCAGUCAAACUGUAGUAAUGUCAGAAAAGCAGCAUGAUUUGCACAGAUGUAAAUGGCCAGAAAAGUUUUAGGUCAAAACACACUAAGGGCUUUCUCACAUGGCAGCAACCUUCUCUACCUUCUAUCACACCUUGAAACUGUACUUAUUGUAGCAGGAGUGGCCCAAAUGCUCCGUCAUUAACAUUUGCUACUUGCAUAAAAUUCUGUUCUAGAUGUAUACUUUUUAUACCAAUAUGAAAACUAUCUAAGGAGUACAGUAUCUUGGGAGCUCACUGAGAGUAAAUAUUGGUUGAUUAGGUUAAAAAAAAUCCAUUUUUAGAAAGGUUUGGGAGGGGGUGGUAGGGGAGAGAGAAAGUGUGUGUUUUGUACAGAUAUACCCGCCCAGAGAUGUCAGUGUUCUUUACUGCUUUUUAUUUUACACGGUAUUUUGCAAUGGCAGGCUAAAGAAUAUAUAAAUUCUACCAAAUGCUACCAAUUCACAAAAGUUGUCCAGUCCAUUAAAUUCAUACCAUUAGCUUCACUGUCAUAAACUAUGCUGGAGAGCAAUGAAGUGUUCUGAUUACCUAUGAUGAAGGAGAUAACAAACACAAAUUCCUAGUAUUAUUAACAGAAAAGCAGGAGAAAAAAUACUGCUAUCAAAAUAUGAACAAACAAACCCAAACAUAUAUUUUAUAGUCUUAGCAAAAAUAAAGCUUUAGGAAUUCUUCCA